rnacentral:rRNA from 1 species
GACAGAGGGUGCAAACGUUGUUCGGAAUUACUGGGCGUAAAGCGUGUGUAGGCGGCUAGGUAAGUCGGAUGUGAAAGCCCCGGGCUCAACUCGGGAAGUGCACUCGAUACUGCUUAGCUCGAGUACCGGAGAGGUUGGUGGAAUUCUCGGUGUAGAGGUGAAAUUCGUAGAUAUCGAGAGGAACACCGGCGGCGAAGGCGGCUCACUGGACAUGUACUGACACUGAGAUACGAAAGCGUGGGGAGUAAACAGG